rnacentral:rRNA from 1 species
GGGCCUACGGGACGCAGCAGUGGGGAAUAUUGCACAAUGGGGGGAACCCUGACGCAGCGACGCCGCGUGAGGGAUGCAGGUCUUCGGAUCGUAAACCUCUGUCAGCAGGGAAGAACGGUCACUGUGCUAAUCAGCAGUGAAUUGACGGUACCUGCAAAGGAAGCACCGGCUAACUCCGUGCCAGCAGCCGCGGUAAUACGGAGGGUGCGAGCGUUAAUCGGAAUUACUGGGCGUAAAGCGCUCGUAGGCGGUAUGUCAAGUCAAGGGUGAAAUCCCCGCGCUCAACGUGGGAACUGCCUUUGAAA